rnacentral:ncRNA from 1 species
UAAAACUUUGUAAUGAUUACAGAUUAGCUUAGGUUAAACUUAUAGCAUGGUAAUUAUUGUGUUCUAAAGAUAUUAGAGAUAUACAUCAAGUUACGUAACCCAGCAAGAAACAUUAAACUAUACUAGAAAUAGUAAUUUAAUUUAGCCUACAAAGUUGGACUAAUUAGGUGCCAGCAGUCGCGGUCAUACCUAACAACUUAGUUAAUUUAAUUAGGUCAGAUUAAGAAAAGAACCUUUAUAAUCAGGUGAAAUUGUUAUAGAAGGUAAUUUUGUCUUUCUUUGCUUUUUCUUAAGCUCUCAUGAUAAACUAGGAUUAGAUACCCUACUAUAUAGAGUAUAAAUUUGAAGGCCUAAGCACUAAGACUAAAAAGUUAAAACUUAAACUACAUGGCGGCAGUUAAAAAUUUCAGGGGAACUUGCCAGGUAAAUGAUAACCCCCAAAAAACUCUACUUUUAUCAAAAGUUUGUAUAUCGCCGUCUUCAGCAUUCAUUUUAGAUGAAUUCAAGGUGUUAGUAAACAAAAAGACAGGUUUAGAUGCAGCCAAUAUAAAAGUCUAGGUGAGUUACAAUAAUUAAAGUUUUUAGAAUCAUUUUGAAAAGAAGUGAGGAAAUUGGACUUGAAAGUAAUAGCUAUAAUAAUUAAUAUUUGAAUUUCUAAUUUAACUGUGUACAAAUCGCCCGUCGCUUUCAUUGAAAAAUGAAAUAAGUCGUAACAUAGUAGGUGUACCGGAAGGUGCACCU